CCCAGGAAAUCUAUAUUAUAUAGCAUAGGGUAUAAGCUUAUAAAAGACCAGAUUUUGUGGAGGGAGACCCGAUUUCACGAUCCGUCACGUUUUCCAUGGCUAUGAAUUUGGUAGGGCCCUAAUAAUGGAUGGGUGGAUCGGGGAAAAUAUAUGCUCAAUAAUACAAUGACAGAUAUUACCCAACAAGAUGAUCUGGCUAUGAGAAAUUAUUCUUAGUUUUCCUUUUGGUUUUCUGUUUUGAAGACAGUCCAUGUUUCGUAAUCACAUUUGAGAGAAUGAUCAAAUUCUCAUUUACAUAAGGUAUAUACUCAGUAAAGAUCUCACACCAUGGAGACUGCUGUUCUUAAAGGAUUCCCAAAGCAGGUACCAUGUUGGUGUUUGCUAUGAGAAGGGCCUUGGAGUACAACGGAACUUCGCAGAAGCCAUGGAGCAUUACCAGCAUUCGGCUGCUGCAGGAAACAGACAUGCUCAGGAGAGGGUGCGAUUUGUUGAUCAAGAGAUGGCAGCCACAAAGAGCUGCCGUCCAGCACCUUCCAGAAUGAGAGCGUUCUCCUCCAGCCCCUGCCUCUGGGCCCUGGAAGGGCAGCACCAGGCCUCGCCAGUGGAACGUCGUACUUUAGCCUUGCCCCACUCCUGGAGCACAGGCAGUCUGGGUGGGGCUGACAUCCGUGGCCUGAGAUGGAGUCCAGCCCCAGAACAUACAGCAAGUCUAUUGGAUUCCUCCCACCUGGAGCCAUGGCCAGGGCUCUGUUCUCAGGGAAUAGCAGUUGGCUAGCUAGACCCUGGUCACUGUAGCCUGGAUCCUGCUCCUAUGAGGAAUCUGGGGAACAUCGGGCAGCUGUGGGCACUUCCCACGCAAGCAUGGACACAGAAACCACAGUCUCGGUGCAACACCAUGGGGAAUAUGAGAGAAAGAAAUGCUGAAUUCAGCGGUACCUUGGCAAAAUGUAGUAUUUCACAGUGGUGGAGUCACAGAGCCCAUGAACUCUUGAGAGGAACAGGGCAGGUCUCACCUCUCCAGAAGAGUCUGAAACAACAGCUUGAAGACUGAGGCAGGCAUUACUAUAUCAUUUUCCCUUGCUCACAUUUAUGAGCUUUUCAUCACAAUCAUAAAGGCUAAAAUCAUUUUUAUUUCAAAUAAAACUGAAGAUUUUAGAGCCUGA